UCUCCUCCCAUGAACCCCGGCUGCGCGUGCGCGUGGCUCCGGGGGGUUCUGCUGCAGCGCCAGAGCAUGUGGUUGCAUGUAACUGGAACGACCGACCCACUGGCAGCACCUUUAACCGCGCGUGACCAGG
rnacentral:snoRNA from 1 species